rnacentral:rRNA from 1 species
UACGUAGGGGGCAAGCGUUGUCCGGAUUUAUUGGGCGUAAAGAGCGUGUAGGCGGCCAUACAGGUCCGUUGUGAAAACUCGAGGCUCAACCUCGAGACGUCGAUGGAAACCGUAUGGCUAGAGUCCGGAAGAGGAGAGUGGAAUUCCUGGUGUGGCGGUGAAAUGCGCAGAUAUCAGGAAGAACACCCGUGGCGAAGGCGGCUCUCUGGGACGGUACUGACGCUGAGACGCGAAAGCGUGGGGAGCGAACAGG